UUCGGGCCUCUUGCCAUCGGAUGUGCCCAGAUGGGAUUAGCUAGUAGGUGGGGUAACGGCUCACCUAGGCGACGAUCCCUAGCUGGUCUGAGAGGAUGACCAGCCACACUGGAACUGAGACACGGUCCAGACUCCUACGGGAGGCAGCAGUGGGGAAUAUUGCACAAUGGGCGCAAGCCUGAUGCAGCCAUGCCGCGUGUAUGAAGAAGGCCUUCGGGUUGUAAAGUACUUUCAGCGGGGAGGAA
rnacentral:rRNA from 1 species